ensembl:lncRNA
UUUUGAUGAAAAGUCACUUUCUAGACAUAAAAUGUCACUUUUUUCACCUUAUCAUACUUUUUCAUCAACUUUUGCAUUUUAAUGUAAACAAUCAUAUUUCGUAAUAUUUUGGGUCAGAAACAUUUCAUAGUACUAUAUUAUGUCUAACUAUGUGAAAAAAAUCAAAUUGGAGUACGUUGUGCACUUGAUUAUAUGAGUUUGUUAGAAAAACCACUUUCCUUUGCUCCUAGCGCCUUCUCGUUCGCUGUAUAGCGUUUUGAGCGGAUAAAGAGCACAAGUGUGUAAGGAGACACAGGAUGAAUGGGAACUAGUUUUGUAAUUGUACUUUUGAUGAAAAGUCACUUUCUAGACAUAAAAUGUCACUUUUUUCACCUUAUCAUACUUUUUCAUCAACUUUUGCAUUUUAAUGUAAACAAUCAUAUUUCGUAAUAUUUUGGGUCAGAAACAUUUCAUAGUACUAUAUUAUGUCUAACUAUGUGAAAAAUAUCAAAUUGGAGUAGGUCAGUGCAACUGAUUAUAUGAGUUUGUUAGAAAAACCACUUUCCUUUGCUCCUAGCGCCUUCUCGUUCGCUGUAUAGCGUUUUGAGCGGAUAAAGAGCACAAGUGUGCAUGGAGACACAGGAUGAAUGGGAACUAGUUUUGUUAUUGUACUUUUGAUGAAAAGUGACUUUCUAGACAUAAACUGUCACUUUUUUCACCUUAUCACACUUUAACAUCAACUUUUACACUUUAAUGUAAACAAUCAUAUUUCGUAAUAUUUUAGGUCAGAAACAUUUCAUAGUACUAUAUUAUGUCUAAAUAUGUGAAAAAUAUCAUAUUGCAGUAGGUCGGGCAAUUGAUUAUAUGAGUUUGUUUGAAAAACCACUUUCCUUUGCUCCUAGCGCCUUCUCAAGCGCUGUAUAGCGUUUUG